UUCCCCAGAGCCACGACCAGAGUCAUCGCGCCCUAACUUGAAGCGGUUAUAACUAGUUAACUCAUGGAUUCUUACGAGUUUAUAUAAAUUUAGAAACAGCAGUCGACGGCAGCAGUCAUCAGAAACCCCCGAAACCCCCUUAUAUUUCGACCAAAUCUGGUUCAAUCUGGGCCAUCACGAACAACGUCGCGUUCGAGACGUCAGUUCGGGCCUGGGCCAGCCAACUCUCGUCAAUAAUCGUGUCAUGCUGCCGCAUUAGCUACGUUACAUGAACACGCGCGACGAGAGCGAACUCCGGAGUGUCGCUCUCGAGCAAUGCUGGCGUUGCCAUGAAUGUGUCGAAGCUCUUCGCCGGCGUCGAGCGCGGGCUCGGCGAGUCGCAAAACCAGCGCGAUUCCAGAAUUGAGGCUCUCUGGGCCCGGAUAGAUACCUACCGUACGGGAGAGCUUGAUCUGAAGUCACUGCGAAAGGCCUUUCGCCGCAUUGACCAUCCUCUAAAGAAUGCCGACAACUUGAUCAAGCAGAUCAUGGCCAGGUCGAUACCAACCGCGAUGGCAAGAUCCAGUACCAAGAGUUUUGCAGCUUCGUUGAGCAGGCUUAGAAGCAUCUUUACCUCCUGUUCAAGGCCAUAGAUAAAGAUGGCAAUGGCAAACUCGAUGUCAACAAGUUACAAUCUGCCUUCAGAGCCGCGGGUCUGACCUUUUCCAGUCGCCAGAUCUCCGACUUCUUCCACGACAUGGACGAGAAAAAUGAUAGCUAUAUCAGCUUCGACGAGUGGCGGAAUUUUUUCUCUUCAUGCCCGUGCGUGAAUAUGGCGUUCAACUAGGGGCGCCGUGUUGUCCUACUGUUCCGUUGUCAAUGUCACAUCUGAGGGCGAUUCCAUCCUCAGCGAAGGCCCACUGGACGGCUUAGGUUACUUUCUGGCGGGUGCCAUCGCCGGCGGAAUAUCCCGUACAGCCACAGCACCUCUAGACCGGCUGAAGGUUCUACAUAUCGUCAACACCAAAAGCUCAUCGCAGACGCGGCAUCUGCUUUGAAGUGAGGACAUUCAUUGGUCGCGGCACAGAACGCACGCGGCCCUUUGAUGAUGCUGUCAAGUACCUGUAUUGGUCCAGCGGCAUUCGUGGGUUCUUUGCCGGCAUGGCCUCAGCGUGGUCACGAUCAUGCCGGAGACGGCCAUCAAGUUUGGAUCGUACGAGGCGGCCAAACGAGUACUCGCCAAUUUGGAGGGCCACGGCGACCCCAAUCUCAUCAAUUCUUUUUCCAAAUUCACGGCGGGUGGUGCUGCGGGAAUGGUGGCGCAAUUCUGCGUCUACCCACUUGAUACCUUCAAGUUUCGCCUUCAGUGCGAAACGGUCAAGGAUGGACUCGGGGAGCGUGCUCGUACGACAAACGGCCUUGAAGAUGUAUGCUGACAGCGGCAUACGGCUGCUAUCGGGCGUGACGAUGGGCCUGGUGGGCAUGUUCCCCUACAGCGCUCUCGACAUGAGUAUGUUUGAGCUAUUCAAGAUACAUACCGGGGUUACUACGCCCGAUAUGCCGCGGUGCCACGAAGACGACUUCGAGCCAGGGACAUAAAAACGGACAUUAUUGGGGCGACAUCGGGUGAAUUGGCGCUACAGUGGUAUAUCCGCUCAACGUAGUGCGGACUCGACUUCAACGCAGGGGACGGUCAUGCAUAGAGAUACGUACACGGGCAUCUGGGACGUCACACGGACGACGAUUCAAAGCGACGGGUACCGGAGACUCUACAAGGGGCUAACCCCAAAUCUUUCAAGGUUGCUCCAGCGCUGGGCAUACCUGGAUUGUGUACGAAAAAUUCCAAGCGAAUGCUCACCUACAUUGAGGGGCGACCCGAUAGGCCGUCCUCAGGAAAGGGAAGGCAGACGAAUCAUAGGAAUACGAGUGAUAGAUGGUGCAUGUACCUGCCAGGACUAAGAGGAGUACUUUGAAAUUCCGCGAAAUGCUCGGGCACGCUGAGGUGUUGCAAUCGUGAUGUCCCAUCUUGGAAAACGGGGACACGGAGUAUUUAUGGAAUCGAGACCGAGGGCAGGUCAGUUCGGAGAGACGCGAGGAACCGAUAGAUUCUAGGCAGGCCACGAGACUGGGCCACGAGAACGACACAGCGAAGCUCUCAUUCCGCGUCAAAGUUAGGGAGGAGAUUGAUUGUCUACCGGGACACCGUGCCGAGCGCCGUCGAUGACCUCAAGUGGGCAAUCUGUGAUGUCCAGAUCACUAGAUCAUCUCAACGACGGAAAAUUACUCGUCAGCAUCGAUGCUGACUUGGGGGCAGCGGCAAUCAGGGGCUUCGAUCACUGUCGGCCACCGCCUCUUACUCUGCAUCCCAACUCAUGCUAUCGUCUGGGUCUGGUAGAAGGCCACAUGCCCAGGCAAGCCUCAGCUUGACGUCGAUUUCGCUGGCGGGCUCGUCACGAGCGUGUUUGGCUACACCGCGCUCACACCGUCUCCGCAAUGUAGGAAGCCGAUGAGCGCUGUACAAGCAGCUCAAGCUGGCCAUCCACAUCGGAUGACGUCUUCACGCAUGCGUGGCGCGUGAGCUAAGUCAGUGCCAGCCUAUGCCACAUAAUCUGCAUGUGCCUUGAAUAUCUGAAAAUUCCCUCAGUAUAGCGCCUUGUGAAUGGCAUAUCUGUAGUUUCAAAACACGCGAGAGGGUACCUCUGAAUUCCCACAUGGCUUUGCCAGCUCCUGCAUCGCCAUGCCUGCCGAGCAUGGCCCAAGGUUUCACCAAGGCUGACGGCUCCUUGAAUCAACUCCGCAUGCUCAGAUACCGUAAGCCGUCGGUAAUUCUCCUGGAAGGAAAGUUUCCUCAACCUAACGCAAAUAAAAACAAGCUGCCAGUCGGAAGAUCCAUCUGAGGCCUCUGCAACUAUGUCAUCGCUGCUCAGCAUGCGUUACCAGGAUAAAACCUCGAUUCCGGGGACACCGCCUGCAAUAGAGAGCAAAGGAGAGCUUUCGCUACCUUGAGGUCCGGGGGAGCUAGGCAGUAACUUUCGCGUACAGCGACGAGAGCACAGUGGAAGAGAGUGGAACGGAUGAUUAAUAGGAUAGGUGUAUCCGCAGCCCGAGCACCAGACGCGAGCAGUUAUCAAGAGGGACUAUUCGGUGAACAAUGCUCAACGAAGCUCAACUUCAGCCUCGCCAACUAGAGAUGCCUGUUCGGGCACCUAUCGUAUUGAUCAAUCGUUCCACUCCUUCCACUGUGCUCUCGUCGAUAAAGGGGCGGAAUGAAAGGAAAUUGGCAGUUAAGUCUUGCCGCAGUGAAAAAUAAAUAUUCUAUAGAAAUGACCGUUGCCAUGAAAGCUGGUCAUGUUCAGAGCUUGAGUCUAAAAUUAAAAAAAUCUGACGCAAAUUGUAUCCGCUCGCACUCCUCUGUCCAUCUCGGUCGCCGUACGUGGUUGUAGAGAUCGAGCAGACAACCUGUUGGUUGUUAAUGAUGAUGCACUCUGGAAGAACACCAGGCUUGACAGUUGUAAACACCUAACAGGGGUCCUGCUUGACAAUAAUUGACCAACUGGUUGGCAUGUGCAUUUCACCACCGCUGUAAGAUUCAUGUAUGUACUUCUUGAACGGAUAUUGGAGAUUAUUGUUUCUGCUCGAUCCGCAAUCAGUCGAAGGAGGUGAAA
rnacentral:misc_RNA from 1 species